rnacentral:miRNA from 1 species
AAAGCAGUAGAAAAAAGUGGUGCAGCUCCCACAGAGAGAUACUCAAACUCACCUUUACAUAUAGAAGACCCCUGAAGGACAAUGCAUGACCAAUUCAAUAUCAAACAGUCCUCUCCUUGUCCCCUCUUUCUAUAUAUAUCUAUCUUUCUUCUUCUUCUUCUUCUCUAUCUCAUUGUUGUGGGGAAUGCUGUCUGGUUCGAGACCAUUCGCUUACAAGUUAAGUUCAUGGCAUCAUCUUCUUGAAUGAUCUCGGACCAGGCUUCAUUCCCCUCAACUCAACACCUCUCUGCAGCCAAUUCAACUUCUUCAUGCAUUGAUAUUUAUAUAGAUCAUCAGAUGUUGCCUUCCAUUUGAAUCAUCUUCAUCUUUAUCACAUUCUACUUUUCUUUUUUCGUUGUAUUUGCACCUUGAAGCAUAUAAGAUGUUCUGGCAUCAGACAAUCUGAGAUACAGGCCACAUGUUAUAUAUUGUUUUACUCUAUGUAUUCUAAUGAAGCACGAUCAAGGGAGAUCCAUUUUUUAAAAAAAAAAAAAAAAAAAAAAAAAAAAAAAA